rnacentral:rRNA from 1 species
AAAACAUCGCCUCUUGCAAAGUAAUGAAUAAGAGGUCCCGCCUGCCCUGUGACUCUAAGUUUAACGGCCGCGGUAUUUUGACCGUGCGAAGGUAGCGCAAUCACUUGUCUUUUAAAUGGAGACCUGUAUGAAUGGCAUAACGAGGGCUUAGCUGUCUCCUUUCUCUAGUCAAUGAAAUUGAUCUCCCCGUGCAGAAGCGGGGAUAGAACCAUAAGACGAGAAGACCCUAUGGAGCUUUAGACGCCAAGACAGACCAUGUUAAACACCUCCCCAUAAAGAGCCCAAACCAAAUGGUCCCUGCCCUAGUGUCUUUGGUUGGGGCGACCGCGGGGAAACAUAAAACCCCCAUGUGGAAUGGGAGCACCCUCUCCUACAACUAAGAGCUACAGCUCUAAUGAACAGAAUUUCUGACCAACAAGAUCCGGCAAUGCCGAUCAACGGACCGAGUUACCCUAGGGAUAACAGCGCAAUCCCCUUUUAGAGCCCAUAUCGACAAGGGGGUUUACGACCUCGAUGUUGGAUCAGGACAUCCUAAUGGUGCAGCCGCUAUUAAGGGUUCGUUUGUUCAACGAUUAAAGUCCUACGUG